UUGGAGGGCAAGUCUGGUGCCAGCAGCCGCGGUAAUUCCAGCUCCAAUAGCGUAUAUUAAAGUUGUUGCAGUUAAAAAGCUCGUAGUUGAAUUUCGGGGUUAGUAGGUUGGUCAUGCCUCUGGUAUGUACUGGUCUCACUGAUUCCUCCUUCCUGAUGAACCUUAAUGCCAUUUAUUUGGUGUUUUGGGGAAUUUGGACUGUUACUUUGAAAAAAUUAGAGUGUUUAAAGCAGGCUCACGCUUGAAUACAUUAGCAUGGAAUAAUGAAAUAGGACGUUUGAUUCUAUUUUGUUGGUUUCUAGGAUCGACGUAAUGAUUAAUAGGGAUAGUUGGGGGCAUUAGUAUUCAAUUGUCAGAGGUGAAAUUCUUGGAUUUAUUGAAGACUAACUACUGCGAAAGCAUUUGCCAAGGAUGUUUUCAUUAAUCAAGAACGAAAGUUAGGGGAUCGAAGACGAUCAGAUACCGUCGUAGUCUUAACCAUAAACUAUGCCGACUAGGGAUCGGAUGAUGUUAAUUUUUUAAUGACUCAUUCGGCGCCUUACGGGAAAC
rnacentral:rRNA from 1 species